GUCUAUGGCCAUGCCACCCUGAACAAGCACAAUGUCUGAUCUUGGAAGCUAAGCAGGAUCGGGCCUGGUUACUACUUGGAUAGGAGACCCCCUAGGAAGACCAAGUGCAGUAGGCA
rnacentral:rRNA from 1 species